UUGUUCUGAGCUCAGGUCAGGCGACUGGCGGGAUGCUUUACAUGCAAGUCGAACGGCAGCACGGACUUCGGUCUGGUGGCAGUGGCGAGCGGGUGAGUAAUGGGACGUGCCUGGCGGGGGACGCUACGCGAAAGCGUAGCUAAUACCGCAUACGCCCUUCGGGGGAAAGCGCGGGGGACCUUCGGGCCUCGCGCUAUUAAACGGCCGAUAUCGGAUUAGCUAGUUGGGCCGGGGUAACGGCUGUCACCAGAGCGACGAUCCGUAGCUGGUUUGAAGGACGACCAGCCACACUGGGACUGAGACACGGCUGAUUUCCUGCAGGAGGCAGCAGUGGGGAGUGUGGACAAUGGAAACCUGAUCAGGCAUCCCGCGUGUGCGAUGACCUUCGGGUUGUAAAGCACUUUUGGCAGGAAAGAAACGGCACGGGAUAAUACCCCGUGCAACUGACAAUGCACCUGUAGAAUACAAGCACCGGCUAACUACGUGCCAGCAGCCGCGGACAAUACGGCAGUUAGGCAUUGAAUCGGAAUUACUGGGCGUAAAGCGUGCGCAGGCGGUUCGGAAGAAAGAUGUGAAAUCCCAGAGCUUGAACUUUUGGAACUGCAUUUUUAACUACCGAGCUCAGGUAGCAUCAGAGGAGGUGGAGAUUCCGCGUGUAGCAGUGAAAUGCGUAGAUAUGCGGAGGAACACCGAUGGCGAAGGCAACCUCCUGGGAUAACGCGACAUCAUGCACGAAAGCGUGGGAGCAAACGGGAUUGAAUACCCUGGCUGAUCCACGCCUAAACGAUAUCAACUAGCUGUUGGACCUUCGGGCCUUGGUAGCGCAGCUAGCGUGAAGUUGACCAUGUUUUCGAAACUGAUCGCAAGAUUAAAACUCAAAGGAAUUGACAGGACCCGCACAAGCGGUGGAUGAUGGUUAAUUCGAUGCAACGCAAAAACCUUACCUACCCUUGACAUGUCUGGAAUCCCGGGAGAAGAGAUUUGGGAGUGCUCGCGAGAGAACCGGAACACAGGUGCUGCAUGGCUGUCGUGGAGCUCGUGUCGUGGUAUUGCGGGUUAAGUCCGCAACGAGCGCGGCAAAACAGAUCAUUAGUUGCUACGAAAGGGCACUCUAAUGAGACUGCCGGUGACAAACCGGAGGAAGGGAUGAGGAUGACGUCAAGUCCUCAUGGCCCUUAUAGGUAGGAGCUUCACACGUCAUACAAUGGUCGGGACAGAGGGAUGUCGCCAACCCGCGAGGAGGGCAAUCCCAGAAACCCGAUCGUAGUCGGAUCGCAGUCUGCGAAAACUCGACUGCGUGGAAGUCGGAAUCGCUAGUAAUCGCGGAUCAGCAUGUCGCGGUGAAUACGUUCCCGGGUCUUGGCACACACCGCCCGUCACCAUGGGAGUGGGUUUUACCAAGUAGUUAGCCUAACUACGUAAGGAGAGGGCGAUUACCACAUUAGGAUUCAUGACUGGGGUGAAGUC
rnacentral:rRNA from 1 species